GAGUUUGAUCCUGGCUCAGAUUGAACGCUGGCGGCAUGCCUUACACAUGCAAGUCGAACGGCAGCACGGGAGCAAUCCUGGUGGCGAGUGGCGAACGGGUGAGUAAUAUAUCGGAACGUGCCCAGUCGUGGGGGAUAACGCAGCGAAAGCUGUGCUAAUACCGCAUACGAUCUCUGGAUGAAAGCGGGGGACCUGCAAGGGCCUCGCGCGAUUGGAGCGGCCGAUAUCAGAUUAGCUAGUUGGCGGGGUAAAAGCCCACCAAGGCGACGAUCUGCAGCUGGUCUGAGAGGACGACCAGCCACACUGGAACUGAGACACGUCCAGAUC
rnacentral:rRNA from 1 species